rnacentral:rRNA from 1 species
GACAGAGGGUGCAAACGUUGUUCGGAAUUACUGGGCGUAAAGCGUGCGCAGACGGUUGCGUAAGUCAGAUGUGAAAGCCCCGGGCUCAACCUGGGAAUUGCAUUUGAGACUGCGUAGCUAGGGCGCGGAAGAGGGAAGCGGAAUUUCCGGUGUAGCGGUGAAAUGCGUAGAUAUCGUCAGGAACGCCGAUGGUGAAGACAGGUGACUGGGCUAGUUCUGACACUGAGGCACGAAAGCGUGGGGAGCGAACGGG